rnacentral:rRNA from 1 species
CGAACGGGUGAGUAACGCGUGAGGAACCUGCCUCAAAGAGGGGGACAACAGUUGGAAACGACUGCUAAUACCGCAUAAGCCCACGGCUCGGCAUCGAGCAGAGGGAAAAGGAGCAAUCCGCUUUGAGAUGGCCUCGCGUCCGAUUAGCUAGUUGGUGAGGUAACGGCCCACCAAGGCGACGAUCGGUAGCCGGACUGAGAGGUUGAACGGCCACAUUGGGACUGGGACACGGCCCAG